UACGUAGGGUGCAAGCGUUAAUCGGAAUUACUGGGCGUAAAGCGUGCGCAGGCGGUUUUUGUAAGUCUGUCGUGAAAUCCCCCGGGCUCAACCUGGGAAUUGCGAUGGAGACUGCAAGGCUGGAGUCUGGCAGAGGGGGGGGUAGAAUUCCACGUGUAGCAGUGAAAAUGCGUAGAGAUGCGGGAGGGAAACACCCAAUGGCGAAAGGCAGCCCCCC
rnacentral:rRNA from 1 species